CAAUAGCGUAUAUUAAAGUUGUUGCAGUCAAAAAGCUCGUAGUUGGAUUUCUGGUGGGAGCGAUCGGUCUGGCGCUUAGCGCGAGUACUUGCAUCGUCUCCGGCCAUCCUUGGGGAGAGUCUGUCUGGCAUUAAGUUGUCGGGCAGAGGAUCCUCAUCGUUUACUGUGAAAAAAUUAGAGUGUUCAAAGCAGGCUUAUGCCGUUGAAUAUAUUAGCAUGGAAUAAUAAGAUAGGACUUUGGUACUAUUUUGUUGGUUUGCGCACCAAAGUAAUGAUUAAUAGGGACAGUUGGGGGUAUUCGUAUUCCGUUGUCAGAGGUGAAAUUCUUGGAUUUACGGAAGACGAACUACUGCGAAAGCAUUUACCAAGGAUGUUUUCAUUAA
rnacentral:rRNA from 1 species